rnacentral:rRNA from 1 species
UGAGUAACCUGCCCUUAACUCUGGGAUAAGCCUGGGAAACUGGGUCUAAUACCGGAUAUGACUCCUCAUCGCAUGGUGGGGGGUGGAAAGCUUUAUUGUGGUUUUGGAUGGACUCGCGGCCUAUCAGCUUGUUGGUGAGGUAAUGGCUUACCAAGGCGACGACGGGUAGCCGGCCUGAGAGGGCGACCGGCCACACUGGGACUGAGACACGGCCCAGACUCCUACGGGAGGCAG